rnacentral:misc_RNA from 1 species
GUAUUUAAAAAUAAGUAACACAUUCUACACAUGCAUUAAUGGGUUGUUCGUGUAAAAACGUGAAACCCCCUCCCGGAACAAGCCAAAAGAGAGGGCCCCACGCGGUGAUGCACAAAGGGGUGAGAUGGAUUGUAAGAGAGCACCGGAGCGUGCACAAAGUCAGCGACAGCCCCGGCACCUCCGUUAUACGAUAAUGAUCCUUCCGCAGGUUCACCUACGGAAA